rnacentral:rRNA from 1 species
GUAGUCCACCCCGUAAACGUUGGGAACUAGUUGUGGGGUCCAUUCCACGGAUUCCGUGACGCAGCUAACGCAUUAAGUUCCCCGCCUGGGGAGUACGGCCGCAAGGCUAAAACUCAAAGGAAUUGACGGGGACCCGCACAAGCGGCGGAGCAUGCGGAUUAAUUCGAUGCAACGCGAAGAACCUUACCAAGGCUUGACAUAUAGAGGAAACGGCUGGAAACAGUCGCCCCGCAAGGUCUCUAUACAGGUGGUGCAUGGUUGUCGUCAGCUCGUGUCGUGAGAUGUUGGGUUAAGUCCCGCAACGAGCGCAACCCUCGUUCUAUGUUGCCAGCACGUAAUGGUGGGAACUCAUGGGAUACUGCCGGGGUCAACUCGGA